UGUGUAGGCGGCUUUGUUAGUCUUUCGUCAAAGACCUGGGCUUAACCCAGGGAUAGCGAAAGAAACGGCAAAGCUAGAGGAUGCGAGAGGUAUACGGAACCCAUAGUGUAGGGGUGAAAUCCGUUGAUAUUAUGGGGAACACCGAAGGCGAAGGCAGUAUACUGGCGCAUUCCUGACGCUGAAACACGAAAGCCAGGGUAGCGAAAG
rnacentral:rRNA from 1 species